rnacentral:rRNA from 1 species
CACGUAGGGGGCAAGCGUUGUCCGGAUUUAUUGGGCGUAAAGAGCUCGUAGGCGGUGUGUCACGUCGGCCGUGAAAACCUGCAGCUUAACUGUGGGCGUGCGGUCGAUACGGGCAUCACUGGAGUUCGGCAGGGGAGACUGGAAUUCCUGGUGUAGCGGUGAAAUGCGCAGAUAUCAGGAGGAACACCGGUGGCGAAGGCGGAUCUCUGGGCCUUACCUGACGCUGGAGGCGCGAAAGCUAGGGGAGCGAACAGG